GAGCAUUUCCAUUGAAUAAUAUGUUACUGACUCACUUCUUUCCUAUGAUUUUCCAUCUGUUUGCUCUUGUCCUAGUAAGCUCUUUGAUUGCUUUUGAACAACAUAGUCAAUAGUGGAUCAUAGACUACUUGAAAUUGUGUGUCCAACUUUAGGUAAGCAAUAUUAUGAGUGGUCUUGUACUAUCCUAUUUCUUAAUGUUAUCUUUCCUUUGUUCUAGGUGAAGAAGAAGAAAGCUUCACAUGCUGGCAUGUUUGAUAUAGCAAAGACUGCAAAUAGGCCCAUGAUACAUAUUGGUGGAUAAGGUAUCACACAGUGAUAAAGUUACUUACAUAGCAGGCAACCAGAGUAGUCCUAGUGAGAAGUACCCUGAAUUGAGUAUUAUCUGAGAUCUUCAUUGAUACAAUCUCACUACAUGAAGGGUGAUAGAUUUUUCAACUAUACUUAGCCACAUAUACUGUUAAAUGUUGUUCCUUUGGAUAGAACCCAUUGUUGUUGUAUCGAGUAAUAAUGCAAAUUUGGGCUUAAAUUUUCUGAUCAUGUGUGACUCUUUCUUCAUUGGUUUAUGACUUUUGGGUCGUGUGUUAAUCUUUCUUCACUGGUUGUUUGUUUACCAGUCAACUUUAGUUUCAGCAUGGCACUGUAUUUAUUUGUUUUGUUGUAGACAUGACAAUGAAAUUUUGAAAAGGUUGGUUAUGCCCUGUUACAUCAUUGAA